GAUGAACGCUGGCGGCGUGCCUAAUACAUGCCAGUCGAGCGAACAGAUGAGGAGCUUGCUCCUCUGACGUUAGCGGCGGACGGGUGAGUAACACGUGGAUAACCUACCUAUAAGACUGGGAUAACUUCGGGAAACCGGAGCUAAUACCGGAUAAUAUAUUGAACCGCAUGGUUCAAUUGUGAAAGACGGUUUUGCUGUCACUUAUAGAUGGAUCCGCGCCGCAUUAGCUAGUUGGUAAGGUAACGGCUUACCAAGGCAACGAUGCGUAGCCGACCUGAGAGGGUGAUCGGCCACACUGGAACUGAGACACGGUCCAGACUCCUACGGGAGGCAGCAGUAGGGAAUCUUCCGCAAUGGGCGAAAGCCUGACGGAGCAACGCCGCGUGAGUGAUGAAGGUCUUCGGAUCGUAAAACUCUGUUAUUAGGGAAGAACAAAUGUGUAAGUAACUAUGCACGUCUUGACGGUACCUAAUCAGAAAGCCACGGCUAACUACGUG
rnacentral:rRNA from 1 species